rnacentral:sRNA from 1 species
GGAAAUCUUAAUGAGAAAUAUUUUGACAGAAUCCUUCAACUUAUGCACAAUAGUUUUUUUACUUAGCCUGAUACAGAGGGCUUAAGCUUUGUUAUUGUAAUUAGUUUUUUGAAUAGUGCACACCACCAUAAUCUAAUGUGAUGGAGACAUUUAUUUUUGUCAACAACUCAUUUUGUUUUUAUUAUGCAAUAUAUUUGUCCUCUUGCUGAGUUUUUCGAUAACUGAUUCAAAUAAAAUGCAUUUUAAUAUGGCUGAGCUGUAUGUGUAGAUGUUUUACAUUUAAUAAAUUUUAUAUGAAGUUC